rnacentral:rRNA from 1 species
AUGAACGCUGGCGGCGUGCCUAAUACAUGCAAGUCGAGCGAACAGACGAGGAGCUUGCUCCUCUGACGUUAGCGGCGGACGGGCGAGUAACACGUGGAUAACCUACCUAUAAGACUGGGAUAACUUCGGGAAACCGGAGCUAAUACCGGAUAAUAUAUUGAACCGCAUGGUUCAAUAGUGAAAGACGGUUUUGCUGUCACUUAUAGAUGGAUCCGCGCCGCAUUAGCUAGUUGGUAAGGUAACGGCUUACCAAGGCAACGAUGCGUAGCCGACCUGAGAGGGUGAUCGGCCACACUGGAACUGAGACACGGUCCAGACUCCUACGGGAGGCAGCAGUAGGGAAUCUUCCGCAAUGGGCGAAAGCCUGACGGAGCAACGCCGCGUGAGUGAUGAAGGUCUUCGGAUCGUAAAACUCUGUUAUUAGGGAAGAACAAAUGUGUAAGUAACUAUGCACGUCUUGACGGUACCUAAUCAGAAAGCCACGGCUAACUACGUG